rnacentral:lncRNA from 1 species
GCAGAAUUGUCCUCCGAGAGUGGCAGUCCAUUUUGUUUGACCAUAGAAGGAAUCUUCCUACCCUGCUGAAACAGUGUUCUUUAUCAUAAAUGGUAAAAACAAAUGUGAUCAAUCCUGCUUUCAGACUGUGUUUCAGAGUAUUGUAUUACAUAAGAGAGGAUUUGUGCUGGGUAUAGGCAGGUACCUUUAAGGAAACAGCAUUAAUUAAAAAAUCAAUUUCCAUGACACUUUCUAAGCUUGCACUAUUUAUAGAAAAUAAUUAAAUUAAUUUAUUAUAUUAUUUAAUUUGAUUUAUCUUAAAAAAAAUAUUUUGUACAGAAAAAUAAUUUUAUUGUGAUUUAGGUUUCCUUCCAGUGAAAAUACGGAGGAUGGGUUUGAUUCUGGAAUCUGCUGCCCAUGUGAAUAACACCAGGAAAUGAACAACUAGAAAAUUGGUGUCAAAAUUUGGAGUGAGCCCAUGGUCUUUAAAUUAUUGAUGUUGAAUCCAGUGACUUCAGCAUUAAUGUCUUUGGAUUUAAUUGUUCUGAAGACUGGAACUCACAACAGGAAGAUAAAUUAUUACAGUCUUGGUGCAGAUUUGCCUCCUUCCCUGAGAUGGAAAAUUUACACGAACUAGGUAUGGCUUAAUUUACUAUUUUCAUACUUAUGUCCUAUAAUGUUUGAUCACCUCUAUGAAUGCUUAGCU